rnacentral:lncRNA from 1 species
UCAACACUACACUGCAUCUCCUCCCUCCUUCCCCAAAUCGGCAGCCAUCAACCACCACCCUACCACCAUCAUUCGAUCUUGUUCCAUCCAUUCUAUUACCAUACAAGGAUGCAAGGAGACACACAACGAAGCUUGGUGCGUGCGGAAGUCGAAGGACCGCUCUCGUUUUCUUUUAUCCACCACUUUUCUACACUCGAACUCCCCUAGCCUUGUGCUAGUAGUAAGUUCCUUAUAUCUUCAUCUUGUUCAUGUUUUUAUGUAGUUAAUGAUGUUAAAGAUCAAAAAGAAUGGAAAUCCUAAUGAACAUAAACAAGUCUUGAAGUGUAACUAACUAAAGAUAGAGUAUGGUUAAAGUAGUUAAAAUGAUGAAUGAAAUAUGAUAUUGCUUGAUAAAUCUGAUGAAAAUAAGUAAUAAUCUGUUGUAAUUAUUGUUUUGAUCGCUAAACAUGUUAACGAAAUCAAUUGAACGCACUUUAAGAUGAUAAAAGACUGAAAACAGCAUGCUGAUCUGCUUUUCCAGCCACCUUUAACUGGCUGUAACUGCAUCGUAACUUAACAAAAACUUUAUUUUCUUAAGUCUAUAAUGUGCUAUUAUAAAAUACGGUUCUAAUGACACCGGAAUCGUAAUUUUUGGACCCCGUUUACUAUUUUUAAAGUGUUUCUCCGUAAUAGCAGCUUAAGCUGAAUUUUUCUGCUGAAAAUGUGCGUCCUAUUUUCAGUCAUAACCUGGAAUCUGUGUAGGAUUAGAUCAUGAAACUUAUACUGUAGAUGGUCACUGUUGUCGCCGUGAUCCUCCAACUGGAAUUACGUCAAUCGGACUUACGAAUAAUUUUUAGUAAAUUAUUUCGUAGACUGCAAUCAGAAAGUAACAAAUCUGAUUGCAGUCUAGAAAAUGAAUUUUUAUAAAAUAUUGGUAAUGAACUAGACCCCGAUAUUUUUACAAAAUAAUAUUUGGUUCGUGUAGGACGUUCUGUAAAAAUUUGGGAAUUUUUGGAAUAAGUUAACCAUUUUAUUUAAAUGUCUGAAAACAGUCCAGUUUCAUAUAUAUUAAAACAGAAGUGACAUAAGUAGUAAUUGCAUGCCAAAGUGUGGUUUUUUUAUUAUUAAAAAUCAUUCUUAUUUAAUUUAGGGCGGAUAAACAAUUGAGGGAUUGUGUUAACGUUUAAAAACGCACCCAAAGGUGAGUACAUAGUUCCCCUAUUUUACUGUUUUCAAUUGUUUUGGGGUGAUUCAUAUGUAUCAAAAUGAUUUCGAUGUUUUAACGAUGGUUUCACAACGAGUAAGAUGGUUUAUAUUAAACUAAUAACGAUUUCGAUAAUGUGAACGAGCUUGUUGCUUGUAAUUACAUAACAAAUGACAUUCAUUAAUUUCGGCCAAACCGACCAGUAUUAGGUUAUGGUACCAUAGGAUCCGACAAAUCCCGUUAUCAGACUGGACCCAUGGUUAUGUGUGGGUUAGGUGGGUAACGACCGAAUCUGAUGAUUGUUAACUUACCCUUUGGUGGUUUGUUAAUACGAGAACAAGUGGAACGAUGAACGAGUCACAAAGGUUUGAAUGUUGUUAACGAGACGACCAAAAGUAGUUUCACAAUCUAAAACGAGAAUGAUUUAAACGACUAAAGAGAUGUUUAACUAAUUAAACGAUCUGGGUAAACGAUUGGAAGCGAUGUCACACAAACGAGGUUUUCGAAACGAUAUAAACUAUACGAAUUUUAUUACGAAAAUGAUUUACGAUUUGGUUUACGAAAAGCAAAUGUUUUGGGUAAAGAUUCAUGGUCUCGAGGUUUACAAAUUAUAACCAAACUAUUUUGCUUCGGUUAUUCAUUUUACGAUACAAAUAUUUUACAAAAAACAAGAUUUCUAAUGUCGAUUAACGAAGUUAUACGAGUUAUUUCGACAUGCAAACGAGCCAUGAAUCUGACACUCACGCAAAACCUAUGUGAAGUUGCUUAGUGUUGAUUGCGAAUAGGAAGCAUGCUCACUUAGGACCGGACGAGGCCUUAGUGAUUUAAUAAUGAUAUUAGUCUAUGUUUGAUUUGCUUGUUUAACUUUAAAACAAUGUUUAAUAUUUAAUGAAAUGAAACUCU